UUCAGUUAGAAAUUUUUGAUUAAUAAUAUCUUUUUACUUCCCGAGCAUAGGCUAGGAAGUAAAUAUUAUAAUAGAGUUCAUUCGACGAAUGGUUACUUUCAUAUUUUCUCGACGUUUCAUGAUCUCUAGAGUACAGAAACAUAGGACUCCCCUUUCCAUCUGCCUGUCGUAUUGCUGUGUCGAUUGUUAUUAGGCAGAUAAUCUCCGAAACUAAUGGACCGAUUGUCGUAAAAUUUUAUGUGUGUUUUAGGUAUAUGGAGUAGAUGGUGUAAUGCUAACCAAAAUUUGCCUAAUCAUCCCUACCAAAAAUGUGCCCUUAAAAAUUUUCAUAGACUUUAGAUGUUACCGAAGGUCCGUAAAACUUCCGCAAUAAACAAGACCUUGACUGUAAAACAAACUCUGGGACAGCCAGUAUAGACUUGCAACACAUCUUUCACAUGCCUCACAAAUCUGGUUAUUCUCUUUGUGCUCCUUCUUGUUUUGCAAACCAUAAAAUCUACGGACAUUUGGAAUUCAACAGAAACCGCCGCCGCGGAUUCCGAUUUUGGUAGUAAGCCGUUUCAUUAACGCAAAAUAAGAAGAGAAACUUUUACUGAAGACUCGAUUUAUAUUCUCAUUAAAAUUGGAAAAGUAUGAGACGGCUCAAGGCAGACAGUGUUCAGGAAUGCAUAAACGGUCUUAAAAGUACGGUACAGGCAUUUGAUAAUCUGGGUGAAAUUCUCUCUAUAUUGAGUGUCAGAGGAGCGUAAUUAUUAUAAUCCCCUGGGAAAGUGCUUACCACUACAGAUCGGAUUUAGCUUCAGUUCAAGUUUCUGUCUUGCCUUUUAUAACCAGAUUAACAAGACGAAAAUUAUUAACAAGAAGCGGAACAAACAACUGAAGAAGAAUUACUUUGCAUUAGAAAACAAAAUCUUCAGGUUACUUCAGCAAUCCCCAUUUCAACACGUAUCAUUGUUUUAAUUAUUAUUUUUUAGUCAUAGCGAUCUUGUGCUAGAUAAGAAAUAACUGGGUGCA